GUCUGUCCCACUGUCACACCUUUAUUGUGCUCGUCAAAUGCUUGUGAUAAAGCCGUGGCUCCAGGAUGAGUUCUUGUAUGGUGCGUGUGUUUGAUAACCCCUGCGGAGCUUAUGUUCUUAAAGGUAAAUGCUUGAUAAUUCUAACAAACUGAAUUUUUAAGGGAGACAUAACUUGUUCAGGGUCACAAGUAUGAGUAACAGAUGCUGCUACGUCUAACAGUGUGCCAGCCUUUUGUGUCUGGAAAUGAGUACCAUCAGUCUACUGUUCUGUUUAAAUUCUUGUAUUCAACCUUUGGCUUGAAAAAUAUCAGCCACUACUUUCUGAUAUUGUCAGUGUAUUUGUCUAAGCAGUAUUUCCCCAACAGUAAUUUGUUGUGGAUUCAGAAACCAAAUCACUUAAGACAAUGCAAUUGACAGUCAAAAUAAGCAUGAAAAUGAGAACUACUGAGUUAGGUACAUGGACUCAAUAUUGGUUAACUAUAGUCUUGUGCUUAACUUCAGGUUUUUAAGCAAGUUCAGAUUGCCAAUAAUCUGGGCUUUUGAUAGGUAGAGUUAUGGUAUUAAUGUUUUCCUAGUUCAUAUCAAAUUACAACCUAGUUACUGCAUGUUGACUUUGUAAGACUGUGCUGUAAUAACUUGCAAAUUAUGAUUUCUAGUGUAUAACUAGAGUCAAACACCAUGAUGAAUAUAAAGGUGAAUCAUAAUUCAUUACUUUUCACCUUCAUGUACUGAGGUAGUUCUUGCUCAUAUACAUAUAUAUUUCCAGCUAAUAAAUUAAGAACAAGUUUCCUACACUGGUAUAAUUUGAAUUUGCAGCUGAUUUCAGUUAACUGUAAACUCAAGUUAUCUUUUAGCUCAAGAAUAAAUGCAAAAGGCAAAAAAAAGACAGUAUAUGCUAGAUUUGUUAGAAGAUAAUGUUGAUGUAUAUGCCAUUUGGAAAUGGCUUAAUCCUCAGUGAUUUCUUCAUUAGUGAUACCUUCUAAAAUGAUUAGUCUGCAGGUGGAACUCAUCUAUUUGUGACGGGUCCCAGAGGAAAGGCACAAUUUGUUUGUUAGAAUCAGGAUGAUAUGGGAGUUCUCCCAAAUUCACCUACUGGUAAAUAAAAUGGUAAUUCCAAAGCUAAAUAGCAAAAAAGGGGUAGUUAAUUCCCUUAGGAACUGCCAAAAUUCAGGAGAGGAAAAAAUGAAAAGAAAAAGAAAUAAUGCAAUCUUGAAAUUAAUAGCUCUGCUAAUAAACAAAUAUACAAAUAUAAACCCUUUCUAAAAAUGACUAAAAUUAUUUCCAUGUGGAAAAAUAUGGUUGUUUCUACACUAGAAUAUUUAAGUGAAAAAAAAAAAGCUAUAGCUUUAUUUGCUGGUAACAAAAAUAUGCUGAAAGAUACAAGUGAACUACAGCAGAAUUUGUAAGAAUUAAUGUAUCACAGACAAACGUAAGAGACAUCAUUAAGAAUUCUAGAAAUAAAGAACAAUUUAGUUGGUAAAAAUAUUGGAUUACUUAUUUCAUGCACACACACACCACUUUGUAAACUUUAGCAAAAUUUUGUCACCCAACA